CUUGGUAUUUGCGCUGACGUCCUUGUGGUGAUUAAUACUAGGACUCUGUGAUUUGCCUCGUGAGAACCUAAUCCGGAGGCUGGGAAUACUUCAUUGCGAUUGUCGCCAGCUCCUCCGCGAAGGGCUCAGGUCACUCUUCCCCGCCUGGCGCCCUCUACCUGCUCCUCACUGGGUCCGGACUCCCUCACACUCAGGUCUUGGUGACUCCAUGGCCCCAGGGAAAUUGAAACUAGAGAAAAGCGACUUCUCCAAGGUUACACUGCUAGUCCCCUGUUAGUCCAGGAUUACAACUUCAAUCACCUGACUUUCAGUCCAUUCCACCUCCAGAGCCUUUCUGUGGGCAAGGAUCCUGGAAGGUCCAAUGACACCCCCACAGGGAACAUGCCUGCGCCAGCCCAGACAGGUCAAAGGGCAGGAUUCCAAGCAGCUGAGAUGAUCUCUAGAGAAACCUGGAACUUCCCUGUGACACAAGUGUGGCAGAAAGAGGCAGGCCCAGGGGUUGCCAGCACCCCACGAUCCCUUGGCAAGUGGGGUACCCCUCAGGGUGGGAAGGGGCCCCUACCUGUUUGGUGAACCUGGCCACUGGUUCCUGAAUCUCUGCUUUCAAGGGCCUUGAGUGGCUUAUGUCCCAAGAACAUGGAGUCAUCACAGAGCGCUUACAUCCAAAAUCCAUUUUCCUUCAAAAGAGUGCCCUGGUCAGAGUAAGUAAAGGCGAUCCUGUACACUUUGGUAAAUCAGUGAUUGGUCUAUACUGUAACUGGGCCUUUAGAACUGACAGUGAGCUUCCCGAUGUGAUUCUCACAGGAGAGCGCUACAGAGUUCCUGGAAAAUCCCCUGUCGACCCUGCCAGGAAACAGGUGUUCCACAGAGGUGACCGUGGCGGACAAGUAAAGACAAUUCCAAAGUGUAAACAUAUUUUUUAUAAUUUAGAUAUAAAACGUCAGAAGAACACUGUACUCACCUUAUACUCUGAAAUAAAUUGAACAAAACAGUGAAGUCAGACAAAGACAAAUAUUGUAUAAUACCACUUAUGUGUGGAAUCUAAAAAAUAAUACAAUUGAAUCUAUGUACAAAACAAAAACAGACUCAUGGACAGAAAACAAACUUAUGGUUACCAAAGGGGAAAGAGGGCGGGGCAGGGAUAAAUUAGGAGUAUGGGACUGACAGAUACACACUACUAAACAUAAAAUAGACAAGCAACAAGGACUUGCUGUAAUAUGGCAACACAGGGAACUAUAUUCAAUAUCUUAUAAUAACCUGUAAUGGAAAAUAAUCUGGAAAUAUGUAUAUAACUGAAGCACUUUGCUGUCCACCUGAAACUAACACAAUAUUAUAAAUCAACUCUACUUCAGUUUUUUAAAUUGAGCAUAAUUUGAUAGCUCAGGCCCACUGGGGAGGGUGGAGCAAGUGCCCCUACACAGGUGGCCCCCGAGAGUCCUGCAUUUGAGUUCUUGCUGUGGUUGGCUUAUUAUAAUUUUGUGACCUGCCCCUUUGUCAAGCUGUCAGCAUGUGACCCUCAGCAGCUUCUCUACCUCCUUGAAGUUACUGCUUCCAUGAUUGGAGCCAAAAUGUGGUACAUGGGGAGGGGCCGAGGGGGCAGGGGAGGGGGCGAGGAAGUGUGGUUCUGCCUUCGUCCUCCAUCCUGGAGUGUGUAACUUCUCUGCCGUGGACCCCAGGCUCCCCAUCUGAAAUACAGGGAAUUAGAAAAAGUGACUCCGUAAGGCUCUAAGCUUGGUAAUUCCCAUGAAGAUGCUCUGAAGUGAUCUCAAACUCAGCGUAUCAACCCAAAUGAGAUUAAACUGUGGUUGUCUGUGUAGCUGCCUCACUCCUCCUGUAAUCGGUGCCCUCCUAUGGGCAGGGACCAUCUUAUAGUCAUCCUCCAGCGCCUGGCAGGUAGCAGGGCUGUGAUACACAAGGGUGGACAAGCAAAUGGACCGACCAGCUGAGACCGAAGCACUGAUUCUCUCCAGCUGUGAACCUCUCACCUGUCUCCUCAGCUCAGUCACAAGCUCUCUGGGAGCGAAGAAUAGAUCUUUUCUUCACGAGGUCUCCAAGCAGGGCUGAUGGGCACUCAGGGUGCACUUGUGUGUCCAGGUCAGUUGUUAAAAUACUGAAAAACUUCCGUACAGUUGCUGCCUGAGCCCUAGAGUGCCCCCCACCCCUAGAUGCCCAGCACCUCAUCCAAUGCCCCCAGCCCCCUGUCUGGCUGCUAAAGGGUGAUGUCUGGCCUAGCAGGGCCUCCAGGACUCUGCUCCAGCUCUAUGGCUGCAUCCUUCUCACUGGUCAGUGUAUUGCCGUGCUAUCGUUAAAUGUCCGAGUGAUGGACCAGCCCGAUGCAGAUGAUGGGGAUGCAGCAGAUGCCUGGUAAAUGCUACUUGUUACCUGAGAAUCGAUAUAUGUGGGCUCUGGUCUCCCAGUGGACUGACGGAGUUCUCAGCAAGGAAGUGGGCAGUGUGCUGCCUGAUGCCCAAAGACAAGUUUACAGGGUCCCUGGCUGGACAACAUAAGGCCCUCCAAGGACCCCCGCAGGGGAAGGAAAGUACAGACUUGCUGUCCUUGCCACUCUCAUCCCUGUCAAUCCAUCCGUCCAUCCAUCCAUCUGUCCACCCGUCCACUGUUUGGGGCCCACACUUCAGGCACAUCAGCUCCAGGAAGACCAGAGAGCAGGUCAUGCCGUACAGUGAGCUGGGCCAGACGGGCAGGGGCAGUAGGAAGAGGUCAGACUUGGUGCUGGGGGUCGGAGUCGGGGUCGCUGGUCUGAGCCCCAGCCCUCUGACCAGCCUGGCGGCCAGACUCUCGGAGCCUGUAUUUCCUCUUCUGCACAAGUAACAGAGUUAAACCUACUUUUAGCUUGUUGUGAGGCCUGGUGAGUCUAACAAAGGCUCUGAUCUGGGCCCACAGUUGGGGCUUCUCCUCUAGAUGGAAUCUUAUUUGGAGAAAUCAGGACUUGAAAAAUGACAGAGUGGUUACACAGGUAUGUCUUGUUUGCAAAGACGCAUCGAGCUGUACACUUAUGUAUGCCCUUCUGUAUGCAAAGUAGAUACAGUGAAAAGCUAAAACACCACACGUUCUCAGGCAUCGAAAAUAUCAUCAGGAAAAAAGUUGAGAUGCUAAAACAGAUAGCUGAGAAAAAUCUAGGAUUUUAGUCGGUUUUAGUCGAUUUAGUCGAUUUUAGCCAGGGGGUCGGUACAUUCCAGGCCAGGGAUCAUUAUAAACAAAGGUAGGACAGGCUUUUUCACAAGGCUGUGGGAGGACAGGGGUAAGGCGGGCACGGGGCCAGGACAAGGCCCUGAGCUAUGUGAGGAGGUCUGUGUAAGAAGCCAUGCAGCAGUGGGCAGGGGAAAUGAACACCAAGAGCCUCUCAGGACCUCCCAUGUUCCUGAAGCCUGGAUGCCCCAAGGCAGGCAGAGAUGGAAUCCUCCGGACAACUUCUCUCUGCAACUCAUCCAGCUCCUCUGCAGGCUAUCUCCUCUGCGGGUGGAGGGGCCCAGGGCCUGGCGAGGCCACCCCUGUCCACGUGGGAAAAGUGGAGGUAGGUCCAAGAGACAGAAUCUCCUUCCUCACCGUGGGGAGCGGAGGGGUGUGUGUCUCCUUCAGCUCCUGGGUCAGCCUUCCUGCCUGGGGCCUCAGAGAAGCCUCAGAGACAGGACCCCUCCUGUCCAGGGCCAAAUCUUCAGAUCAAUGGGUUCAUGCCACCGAGGUUGUGCAGACAAUCCCCCACUACACCCCUCUCCUCCUGGAAGAGCUCUUUCUGGAGCAGCUGAAAUGGUGUAGGUAACUUUCUGUGCUUUCCCAGGGAAGUCAGAAGUCAGAGACAGCCGGCCAAGCUCUUGUGGGUUCAUUCAUCUGGAUACCAGAUGGGAGGGGCAGAAAGAGGGCUCCUUAAAGCAAAAGGAAAUGAGAGCUGAAGACAAAGUCUGCAAGCAGCCAGAGGCCCGCCCACCUGUAGCAGCCGAGGCUUGUUGGUCCCAAAAUCUGUUCUCCACUGUUCCAUGGGAUAUUUAGCUGAGAAUAUGGCCACUCAGAAGGAAGACUACAUUUCCCAACGUUUCUUACAGUAGAUAUGGCCAUGUGACUAACAUCUAGUUAACAGGUGCAAAUCCAGCCUCCUCCAAGAAACGCUGCCAGAUGGUGUGUUGCUACUUGCAAAGUCCUUUCACAUGCAUUUAAAAAAAUCCAUUUCCUGUUUUCUGCACAAUCACCUCUAGGUAAGUAUUAUUGCCAGCAUACCACAGGUAAGGAGGAGGCGGCUCAGAGGGGUAAACGGUUUUCUGGUUUGGCAACUCUCUUCAGCUUAAAUAUGAGUUACUAAUGCCUGUGUUGAUCUCCCCUCCUGCCCGUGAUCUUCUCCGUGGCCCAGAGGGGGCUGAUUCAACUCUGAUUCCCUCCAGGGCUGAGGGCUCCACCCACAGCUGGUGCUCUGUAAAUUUGUGCCAAAUUGAUUUACUGUGUAUGCAGCAAGUUCUCCUCCAUCCAAAGACAUUGAUUUCUUCUAAACUCCAUUUCUCUCUUUGACAUUCUCUAAGAAAGGGAGAAAAACUCCAAGGAGAGAAGAGCUUGGUCCUUUUGGGUGAAUCUUUGGCCUGUAGAGGGCCAGGUGGCCAAGGCUUGGUAGUGUAUGAAGGGACCUGCUCUGGGGUGUCAGAGGACCCAGGACAAAGUACCAGGGACCCGGAGCUGGGGCUGCAAGAGGAAAGUGUGGGGAGGAGGGGCCUCUGAAGCUGGGGGCCUGGCAAGGGUUCCACCCAGCUCCCUUUCUGGGGGCAGGGAGGUGGGCAUGCAGAGCCCAGGGAAAGCAAUGAAAGGAGCUGGUUUCAUAGCCAGAUGGUUUUUGCAAGUAUUACUUCAUUGAACCUCACAGCACUCCUCUGGAGUUGGGUGGCAGGCAAUUUCAUCUUUUGAAGGGGAUGGAGAGCUGAAGGAGGAGAAAGAAAACGAAAUCUGGUGACCCGGCCAUGAGGAAAAAACACUGCCCCAGAUCUGCAAAUCUCCUGCGGGGAGGGAGGGACCCAAGGAUUCUACCUCAUGAUGAAAAUAACUGUUCUCCCCCCAUAUUCAACCAAUGGCUCUUUACUGGGUUCAUAGGCCAGCAACUUUGAUCUGCCCAACAAUUCUUGGAGGACAGAGGCAGGCAUUGCCCCUUUCAACAGAUGAGGAACCUGAAACCCAGAAAGGGAAAGUGACUUGCCCAAGGUCACACAGCAAGGGCAGGGGCAAAACCAGGACUGCAGUCACUUCUUGGUCUUAGCAAUGGAGAAGGGGCCUUGUGUGCCACAGGCUCCCAUAACCAUGCACAGAUGUAACCUGGGACUUCAGACUCCUUCUUCUGGCACCUUCUUUUGACAAGGGCUUAUGUAGGAGACUGGCUUCCCUGGAGAGACAGUACUGCUUGUCCUAAGCAUCCCAAGACCCUACUUGGAUGCUACUUUCUUCAUUCAUUCAUUCAUUCAUUCAUUCAUUUAUGGUUGCGUUGGGUCUUCGUUGCUGUGCAUGGGCUUUCUCUAGUUGCGGCGAGCGGGGGCUGCUCUUCAUUGCGGUGCGCGGGCUUCUCAUUACGGUGGCUUCUUUUGUGGAGCACGGGCUCUAGGAGUGCAGGCUUCAGUAGUUGUGGCACGUGGGCUCAGUAGUUGUGGUGCACAGGCUUAGUUGCUGUGCAGCACGUGGGAUCUUCCCAGACCAGGGCUCGAACCCGUGUCCCCUGCACUAGCAGGCGGAUUCUUAACCACUGUGCCACCAGGGAAGCCCCUCGGAUGCUACUUUCUUCAAGGAGUUGUCAUUCAUCUUCCUUCCCCCAUGGUCCUCCAAUACUUGUGACGCACUGUCUGUGCCCUGUCACUCGUGUCACAUAUAAUCCUUGACCCAGGUCUUGGCUCUCUGACUACUGGGUGCACCCAGGGCAUGACUGCCAUGCCUGGGUACCCCUCACGCUCCUUGGGUAUGAGAGACGAGUUGGAGUGACUUCCUGAUGGAAUGAAGUCAGCUGUGGCUGUGAGACGCUGGGCUGGAGGAUGCCGCUAAGUGCCUGUGGUAUACACUGGGCCCUGGGAGGGCAGUCUCGAAGGCUGGGGGUAUGCGAAGGAUUGGCAGCCUCUCAGCAGUGCUCUAGGCCAGGACUUUCCCUGAGGGGUUUGCAGAGCUAAGGAGAAGCGUCCAUGAAACAACCCAGGGUCCGUCUCCCAGUGAUUGUAGCUGCAGUCCUUUAAGAAACCUGCUAGUGGAGACUGUUUCAGAUGCCCAGGAAGGGCCCCUUCUGCAAAGGAGAGGCGCCAAGCCAGACCCCAUCACCCAGAUGGGCCUUGCUGAGCUGCCCUGGAGUCUGUCUGUCCGGGGGCGAUGGGCUCAGCCCCGGCAGCCACAGUCCCGUCACACUCUGCCGGGGCGCUGAGCAGUGUAACACCCUCCCCCAAAUCCUCGGCUCCCACCUCCACGCCGUGGUUGAUAGCUGUAAGUGUAAUUUAAAUAAAUAGCAGCAUAAGGCCAACCGCAACGAGUAAUCUUAUUCUAUUU